UGUCCAAGAGACUUUGUAGUUGUGCUACUGUAGGACAUUUAUCUGCUUGAGAGUCUUCUGCCCUGGAGAUUGAGCUAUAUUUCUCUGUGUUCUCCGCCAUAACAUCACAAACAGGAAAUGAAAUAGCUGAGGGAACUUAUUAAGACAAGAUGGAGGUCAGUAAGGGAUCGCUUCAUCUGGGAUUUGGCCAAAGAGGUGACAAGGCUGAGUGGAUCAGGGGCUCAUCACAGUACAGAUAUGUCCCUGCCCUUCAGUUUCUCAAGAGUUCCUUUGAGCUGAGACAGAAUCGCCUGAAUUCAAAGCCAUAUGAUUCCCGUGUCCCAACUCACCCGACCACUAUUGCAUGCCUGUCUCCACGUGGCCUAGACCAUCUUUCAAACACAGCCAGGGAAGUUCAUUCCACACAGCCCUACGAAACCGAGAUGGUCCUGCUGCAGUUUCAUACUAUAGUCACCUUCUAAUUGGUCGCCCAUGAUGUUGUCAUUUAAACUUUAAACCCGGGACCAUUCCUUCACCAUUCAUAAACUCCAUGUACUAUGUACCUAUGUGAA